GCCUAACAUCUAGCCCACACUACCCCCAUGAACCUUUUCUACACCCUCCCGUACACAACAAAACAUUUUAUCUCUUUAGUACAGGCGAUCGAAAAACUUAUAGGCGCUUCAGAUUAAGUACCGCAAGGGAAAGAUGAAAUAAAAAUGAAAUAACUUUAAAGCCCCAAAUAGCAGAGAUAUACCCUCGUACCUUUUGCAUCAUGGUCUAGCCAGUUUAACCAAGCAAAAUGUGAACUUUAGUUUGACACCCCGAAACUAAGUGAGCUACUUCGAAACAGCCCUAAGGGGCCAACCCGUCUCUGUUGCAAAAGAGUGGGAAGAUUUUCAAGUAGAGGUGACAAGCCUACCGAACUUAGAGAUAGCUGGUUAUUCAGGAGAAGAGUCUUAGCUCUGCCUUAAGUUUUCUUAUUAACUCAAACAAAUCUUUAAACUUAAGAGUUAUUCAAGUAAGGUUCAGCUUACUUGAAACAGGAUACAACCUCCAAUAUUGGGUAAAUAAGGGGAACCUAGAUAAAGUGGGCCUAAAAGCAGCCACCUUAUAAAAAGCGUUAAAGCUUAAUCACCAAUUCACCCAUAAUUCCUUGAUUCCUUAUUAACCCCUCAUCCCUACUGAAUCAUUUUAUACUAUUAUAAAAAUUAUUAUGCUAGAACUAGUAACAAGAAACUGCCUUUCUCCWGAAUGUCAGCCAGAACCGAAAUAAACCCUAUCGGUAUUUAACGUAAAUGCUCUAACUAUAGUAACCCGCAACUAGAAAACCUAUUUAUUUUCAACGUCAACCUUACACUAGAACAUUACGAGAAAGAUUAAAAGAAAGAAGA
rnacentral:rRNA from 1 species